GUCUUCUAUAAUGUAUUUAGAUAUUAUUUCACGAAACCCAGCGAGCUAAAUUUAAAACAUUUUAGUUAUAUAAAAUCUAAUGUAGCAAUAUUAACCUAUUAUGUAAAUUUAGGGGUGAAAGGCCUAACAAGUUGGGAGAUAUCUUGAUAUUUAGGAGAUAUAUUAAGUAUUUAGGCAACCUAACAAUGGUAAGGUUUUUAGGUAGUAUUAUUUUAUAUUUAGAUAUUAUUGCGUUUUUAAAUAUUCUAGUAUAAAUAUAGCAUAAUAAAUUACGAAUUAAAUAUAAACAAUUACUUUAUUGUUCUGCACAAAUAAUUUCAGGAAUAAAAAUGAAAACAGUAGUAUUCGUAAUAAUUUUAUUUAAGGAACUCGGCAAAAAUAUACUCGACUGUUUAUCAAAAACAUGCCUUAUGAUCUAAUAUAAGGUUAGCCCUGCUCAAUGAGGUUUAAAUAGCCGCAGUACCUUGACUGUGCAAAGGUAGCAUAAUCAUUUGGCUUAUAAUUGAAGUCUAGUAUGAAAGGGAUUACGGGUAUUAGCUGUCUUAAAUAUAUUUGUAGAACUUACUUAUUAAGUGCAAAUACUUAAACAUAUAAAAUAGACGAGAAGACCCUAGAAAUUUUUAUAAAUAAUUAUUAUUCAAUUUUUGUUGGGGCGACAAAGUAACAAAUAAACUUACUUCGUUUAUAUAAAACUAUUUAGUAAUAUAAUAAAAUUACUCUAGGGAUAACAGCAUAAUAUUUUAAAAAGUUUGUGACCUCGAUGUUGGAUUAGGAAAAGUCUAGUCUAAAAGAAUAGAUAAGGGCUCUGUUCGAGCUAUAUACACCUACAUGAUCUGAGUUCAGACCGG
rnacentral:rRNA from 1 species